CACCAACAGACAGACAGAGACCUGGAGGAUAAACAACACCAACCUGACCUGGGCGGUAUGGAGAGAGGUCCUAGCAGCAGCCAGGUGUGGAACCCCUCCUCUGUUAUCUGUAUGGACAGAGCAGAGCCCCCCCUGCUGACCUGGUGGUCCACCUGCAGGUCUGGGAUGGGGAGAGGAGGAAAACAUCAGUCCACUGGAGAGGAGUGGCCACCAUACAGGACCCUCGGCUGUUUCAAGGUCGAUGCCUGACUUACUGGCUACAGGCGUGUGACUGACAGCUCGAGUGUCGGCGGCAUGCUCUCGCGCUGUCCUGCUGUCAGUCACUCUGGAGAUGGGUUCUGCGCCAAGGCGACCGGAGCAGCAACAGCUGAAAGGAAGGACCUCUCAUCUCCAGCUGUUCUAGAGGUGUGGGUGUGACCGGUGCCCGACCCAGUGGUCCCCGACCAGAGACAUGAGUGUGGUCCGAGACCCACAGG